rnacentral:rRNA from 1 species
UACGUAGGGGGCUAGCGUUGUCCGGAAUCAUUGGGCGUAAAGAGCUCGUAGGCGGCCUGUUGCGUCUGCUGUGAAAUCCCGGGGCUCAACCCCGGGCGUGCAGUGGAUACGGGCUGGCUAGAGGCAGGCAGGGGAGAACGGAAUUCCCGGUGUAGCGGUGAAAUGCGCAGAUAUCGGGAGGAACACCGGUGGCGAAGGCGGUUCUCUGGGCCUGUACUGACGCUGAGGAGCGAAAGCGUGGGGAGCGAACAGG